AUUGAACGCUGGCGGAAUGCUUUACACAUGCAAGUCGAACGGCAGCACGGACUUCGGUCUGGUGGCGAGUGGCGAACGGGUGAGUAAUGUAUCGGAACGUGCCCAGUCGUGGGGGAUAACGUAGUGAAAAUUACGCUAAUACCGCAUACGAUCUAUGGAUGAAAGCGGGGGAUCGCAAGACCUCGCGCGAUUGGAGCGGCCGAUAUCAGAUUAGGUAGUUGGGGGGGUAAAGGCCCACCAAGCCAACGAACUGUAGCUGGUCUGAGAGGACGACCAGCCACACUGGAACUGAGACACGGUCCAGACUCCUACGGGAGGCCGCAGUUGGGAAUUUUGGACAAUGGGCGAAAGCCUGAUCCAGCCAUUCCGCGUGCAGGAUGAAGGCCCUCGGGUUGUAAACUGCUUUUGUACAGAACGAAAAGGUUUCUACUAAUACUAGGAGCUCACGACGGUACUGUAAGAAUAAGCACCGGCUAACUACGUGCCAGCCGCCGCCGUAA
rnacentral:rRNA from 1 species